rnacentral:rRNA from 1 species
GAUGAACGCUGGCGGCGUGCCUAAUACAUGCAAGUCGAGCGAACAGAUGAGGAGCUUGCUCCUCUGACGUUAGCGGCGGACGGGUGAGUAACACGUGGAUAACCUACCUAUAAGACUGGGAUAACUUCGGGAAACCGGAGCUAAUACCGGAUAAUAUAUUGAACCGCAUGGUUCAAUAGUGAAAGACGGUUUUGCUGUCACUUAUAGAUGGAUCCGCGCCGCAUUAGCUAGUUGGUAAGGUAACGGCUUACCAAGGCAACGAUGCGUAGCCGACCUGAGAGGGUGGUCGGCCACACUGGAACUGAGACACGGUCCAGACUCCUACGGGAGGCAGCAGUAGGGAAUCUUCCGCAAUGGGCGAAAGCCUGACGGAGCAACGCCGCGUGAGUGAUGAAGGUCUUCGGAUCGUAAAGCUCUGUUAUUAGGGAAGAACAAAUGUGUAAGUAACUAUGCACGUCUUGACGGUACCUAAUCAGAAAGCCACGGCUAACUACGUG